rnacentral:tRNA from 1 species
GGGGUUGUAGCUCAGCUGGUUAGAGCGCCUGCCUGUCACGCAGGAGGUCGCGGGUUCGAGUCCCGUCAAUCCCGCCA